rfam:Glomerella graminicola M1.001 genomic scaffold supercont1.1, whole genome shotgun sequence.
GGCCGGCUGGCGCAAUGGUAGCGCUUCAGACUUCUAGCUUCUCAUUCUCGAGAUGUGGUUAUCUGGAGGUUGUGGGUUCGAGCCCCACGUUGGUCA